ensembl:lncRNA
UUCUAUUAUGCUGACUCUCAACAGUAGGUUGAGACCCAGACAGUUCCUAAAAAAUAAAUACAUUGGGGCCACGGCGUCAACAGCCUACCAGCACUGUGAGCUGUUGGUUGGAGCAGGGUUUCCCAAAGUCGGUCCUGUGGCUCCCCUACCCUGUGUGCACGUUUUGUUUUUUGCUCAAGCACUGCAAAGCGGAUUCAAACAAUCAAAGAUUGAUGCGUUGGUAAAUUGAAUCAGCUGUGUAGUGCUAGGGAAAAACACCAAACAUUCACCUGGGGGCCCAGGACCGACUAUGGGAACGUUGGGCUAGAGUGCACAUGCCAAGGCCAGAGUAGGCAUAUUUGCUAUUUAAUUAAUGCAACAGUUUUAGUGAAAAAACUAUCGGUAGAGUUGAAAAUGCGAUGGAAACAUGUUGAACUAUAAGCUUUUUUUUUAGCUCUCUGAUUUUGUUCCGCAAAAAGUACAUUUGGUUGAAACCCCACUGGUGUGGAAAAGGCGCAUAUUUACUUUUUGCUUAUUCUGCAGUAUUCACUUAAAUCUGCCGCCAAUUGGACAGAAACCUAGCUCGUCGAGCUGUAUGCGAUUGAAUGUAGUAACCACCGGGGCGGCAGGGUAGCCUAGUGGUUAGAGCGUUGGACUUGUAACCGCAAGGUUGCAAGUUCAAACCCCCGAGCUGACAAGGUACAAAUCUGCUGUUCUGCCCCUGAACAGGCAGUUAACCCACUGUUCCUAGGCCGUCAUUGAAAAUAAGAAUUUGUUCUUCACUGACUUGCUUGGGUAAAAAAAAAAAUGCGUAUUUGCAUGCCUUAAAUUGUCCUUCAAAGAUUCCGUAGGUGAUCCUUAUAAAUAGACACCACCCCGUUUUUCGUUCUCUUGUUCUCACUCAGAAGUCUGAGCAUGUCUCCAAGGUGAAGAGUACAAUGAGGAAGAUUAGAUGCCACCAUGACCUAUUGGUGUCACUGUCCAAGCAAAUGGCACAUGAACGUAGCAGUAAGGCCUGCCUUUUCUCCGUGAAAGAAUAUAGUGAUAAAGGGUGGUGCAGCACUGCUUGCUGACUUACUGGUUAGUGGGUCAUGAUGUGACUCCACAAUGGAUGUGAAGUUGCCAAUGCGAAAUUGGUAUACCGCUGGUUGGUGUCCUAGCGGCUGUGACCUGGAAGUAGCAGAAUGAUUGCCGCCUUUCCUCCCUGAAAGAAUGCUGUGCAGUGUGCACAUAACAGCGAUAAAGGAUGGUCUGGAGGUGCAGCAGUGCUGACCUACUGGUUAUAGUGGGUCAUGAUGAGGCGCCACAAGCCACGCUGCCAAUGAGAAGUUGGUAUUUUGGUGUCCUAGCAGAUGUAACCUGGAAGUAGCAGAAUAAUUGCCGCCUUUCCUCCCUGAAAGAAUGCUGUGCACAGAACGAGUCUGACAGUGUGGGGUUGACAUGGCGCCACAGGUCAUUGUGCUGAAGAACGACUGAAGAUUGGCCUGUUGAAGAUGAAAGGUGGCAGUACCUUAGAAGAAAGCAGAUUGUUCAGUUGCCAGUCCUAGACUAGGGUGCCAUCUGAUUGUGUAUGCAGCUGCCACUAUUAUAGCCGUUAGAUGCCGUUAAUCACAGCAAGCUCAGUUUUAGUUUCUGGUUAUCACGUGAAAACCCUUUACUCUGGGUGACCUAGGUGAAAUUGGCUCAACAAAUAUUAAUUAAACAUACCUGCCCUGUUCGAUUUGAAUAAAUGUAUUGCUUUCAAGAUAAUUAAAAUAAACUCAAGCU